rnacentral:tRNA from 1 species
GCCUGCUUAGCUCAGAGGUUAGAGCAUCNCAUUUGA